rnacentral:misc_RNA from 1 species
GAUGAAGAACGCAGCGAAAUGCGAUACUUGGUGUGAAUUGCAGAAUCCCGUGAACCAUCGAGUCUUUGAACGCAAGUUGCGCCCGAAGCCAUUAGGCCGAGGGCACGCCUGCCUGGGCGUCACACGUCGUUGCCCCCCCAUCUACUCCUUCGGGAUUGCGGGGGGCGGAUGAUGGCCUCCCGUGCGCCUCGUCGCGCGGUUGGCCUAAAUGCCAAGUCCUCGGCGACGCACGCCACGACAAUCGGUGGUUGCGAAACCUCGGUUGCCCGUCGUGUGCGGUCGUCGCGCAUCGAGGGCUCGAAAAAAUUGCCGGGCUUCGGCUCGACUUUCAACGCGACCCCAGGUCAGGCGGGGUUACCCGCUGAAUUUAAGCAUAUCAAUAGCGGAGGA